UUGGGAACACGUGAAGUUUUAAAUGAGGAAGAUGAAGUACAACCAAAUGGAAAAAUUUUUAAAAAGGUUAUUCUUGGACAGUAUAAUUGGCUUUCCUAUGAAGAUGUCUUUGUUCGAGCCUUUAAUUUUGGAAAUGGAUUACAGAUGUUGGGUCAGAAACCAAAGACCAACAUCGCCAUCUUCUGUGAGACCAGGGCCGAGUGGAUGAUAGCUGCACAGGCGUGUUUUAUGUAUAAUUUUCAGCGUAUGUAGACUUUCUUAUCUUCUGGAAGAAUGAACUUACAGAUAUUUAUUGAAAUACUUUACUCUGAAGAGGUUAAAAUUCUGAUGUUAAUUUUCACCCAGUGUCCAGUUAGUGGAGAACUCUGUUGUGACUUGGAAUUUUUGGUUUAUUUUGGAAAAUAAAUCAAUUAUAUGACAAAUUGUA
rnacentral:sRNA from 1 species